rnacentral:rRNA from 1 species
GGGAAUAUUGGACAAUGGGCGCAAGCCUGAUCCAGCCAUGCCGCGUGAGUGAUGACGGCCCUAGGGUUGUAAAGCUCUUUUACCUGGGACGAUGAUGACGGUACCAGGAGAAUAAGCCCCGGCUAACUUCGUGCCAGCAGCCGCGGUAAUACGAAGGUGGCUAGCGUUGUUCGGAAUCACUGGGCGUAAAGCGCACGUAGGCGGAGACUUAAGUCAGGGGUGAAAUGCCGGGGCUCAACCUCGGGACUGCCUUUGAUACUGGGUGUCUUGAGGCCGGGAGAGGUGAGUGGAACUGCGAGUGGAGAGGUGAAAUUCGUAGAUAUUCGCAAGUACACCAGUGGCGAAGGCGGCUCACUGGCCCGGAACUGGCGCUGAGGUGCGAAAGCGUGGGGAGCAAA